GGGCGUAAAGAGCUCGUAGGUGGUUUGUCGCGUUGUUCGUGAAAUCUCACGGCUUAACUGUGAGCGUGCGGGCGAUACGGGCAGACUUGAGUACUGCAGGGGAGACUGGAAUUCCUGGUGUAGCGGUGGAAUGCGCAGAUAUCAGGAGGAACACCGGUGGCGAAGGCGGGUCUCUGGGCAGUAACUGACGCUGAGGAGCGAAAGCGUGGGGAGCGAACAGGAUUAGAUACCCUGGUAGUCCACGCCGUAAACGGUGGGUACUAGGUGUGGGUUUCCUUCCUUGGGAUCCGUGCCGUAGCUAACGCAUUAAGUACCCCGCCUGGGGAGUACGGCCGCAAGGCUAAAACUCAAAGAAAUUGACGGGGGCCCGCACAAGCGGCGGAGCAUGUGGAUUAAUUCGAUGCAACGCGAAGAACCUUACCUGGGUUUGACAUGCACAGGACGCCGGCAGAGAUGUCGGUUCCCUUGUGGCCUGUGUGCAGGUGGUGCAUGGCUGUCGUCAGCCCGUGUCGUGAGAUGUUGGGUUAAGUCCCGCAACGAGCGCAACCCUUGUCUCAUGUUGCCAGCGGGUAAUGCCGGGGACUCGUGAGAGACUGCCGGGGUCAACUCGGAGGAAGGUGGGGAUGACGUCAAGUCAUCAUGCCCCUUAUGUCCAGGGCUUCACACAUGCUACAAUGGCCGGUACAAAGGGCUGCGAUGCCGCGAGGUUAAGCGAAUCCUUUUAAAGCCGGUCUCAGUUCGGAUCGGGGUCUGCAACUCGACCCCGUGAAGUCGGAGUCGCUAG
rnacentral:rRNA from 1 species